rnacentral:tRNA from 1 species
GCCCCCUUAGCUCAGACGGCAGAGCACAUCCAUGGUAAGGAUGGGGUCGUCGGUUCGAUUCCGACAGGGGGCUCCA